GAUGUCGCCUGAAAAGUUUUGCAUGGAAUAAUGGAAUAGGACUUCGGUUCUAUUUCGUUGGUUUUCGGAUCCGAAGUAAUGAUCAAAAGAGACAGGCGGGGACGUUUGUAUGGCUGCGCUAGAGGUGAAAUUCAUGGACCGUAGCCAGGCAAACUAAAGCGAAAGCAUUCGUCAAGCAUGUUUUCAUUGGCCAUGAGCGAAAGUCAGAGGCUCGAAGACGAUCAGAUACCGUCCUAGUUCUGACCAUAAACGAUGCCAACUGACGAUCCGUGGCGGUAGCUUAUAAACCUUCCCCACGGGCAGUCCCCGGGAAACCUUUAAGUCUUUGGGUUCCGGGGGAAGUAUGGUUGCAAAGCUGAAACUUAAAGGAAUUGACGGAAGGGCACCACCAGGAGUGGAGCCUGCGGCUUAAUUUGACUCAACACGGGAAAACUCACCCGGGCCGGACACUAUGAGGAUU
rnacentral:rRNA from 1 species